rnacentral:rRNA from 1 species
CCUACGGGUGUCAGCAGUGGGGAAUAUUGCGCAAUGGGCGAAAGCCUGACGCAGCGACGCCGCGUGAGGGAUGAAGGUCUUCGGAUCGUAAACCUCUGUCAGCAGGGACGAACGGUCACUGUGCUAAUCAGCAGUGAAUUGACGGUACCUGCACAGGAAGCACCGGCUAACUCCGUGCCAGCAGCCGCGGUAAUACGGAGGGUGCGAGCGUUAUCCGGAAUGACUGGGCGUAAAGGGUGCGUAGGUGGUUUGGCAAGUUGGUAGCGUAAUCCCGGGGCUCAACCUCGGUGCUACUACCAAAACUGUUGAACUUGAGUGCAGGAGGGGUGAAUGGAAUUCCCAGUGUAGCGGUGGAAUGCGUAGAUAUUGGGAAGAACACCAGCGGCGAAGGCGAUUCACUGGACUGUAACUGACACUGAGGCACGAAAGCGUGGGGAGCAAACAGGAUUAGAUACCCCGGUAGUC